rnacentral:rRNA from 1 species
CCUACGGGUGGCAGCAGUGGGGAAUAUUGGGCAAUGGAGGAAACUCUGACCCAGCAACGCCGCGUGAAUGAUGAAGGUCUUCGGAUUGUAAAGUUCUUUUCUAAGGGAAGAAGAAAGUGACGGUACCUUAGGAAUAAGCCUCGGCUAACUACGUGCCAGCAGCCGCGGUAAUACGUAGGAGGCGAGCGUUAUCCGGAAUGACUGGGCGUAAAGGGUGCGUAGGUGGUUUGGCAAGUUAGUAGCGUAACUCCAAGGCUCAACCUCUUCGAGCCGUUGAAACUGGUUUUCUUGAGUGAGCGAGAAGUAUGCGGAAUGCGUGGUGUAGCGGUGAAAUGCAUAGAUAUCACGCAGAACUCCGAUUGCGAAGGCAGCAUACCGGCGCUCAACUGACGCUCAUGCACGAAAGUGUGGGUAUCGAACAGGAUUAGAUACCCCAGUAGUC